rnacentral:sRNA from 1 species
CGACCUCUGUCAAGGGCCUGUGGGUCCCUGACCCCUGGGUGAGCGAGGGCACUGCUGCCAUGGGCCUGGGCACUGUGCCAUCCUCCAGUGGGAAACAGGAGGUCCCCAGGGUCUGAGAGAACCAUGCAGUCCAGGUGUGAAAGGGGUCCUACGAGGUCAGCUGACCAUAGAGACCUUGGGACCACCAGGAAAUCGUGGGGGCCCUUGGCCAGGGGAUGGGGUCAGGGCUCCUUGAGCCUGUUCCGCCCAUCCAGCUCCCCUUUAACCCCAGGGAAGAAGUAGCUCAGGUGGAGACCCUGGGUCUGCAUGGGGGUCACGUGAGCUGCCUGUAGCCAGCAGGGGGGAGGGCUGGGUGCUGUCCUGAGGAUGCAGGUGCAAAUGGCCAUUUCUGGGCCACCUGUGUGUAUCAGCAUCUGCAGAGGGGCCUGGGGUCUGGCUCCUGGGGUUGGCAGCCCCAGGGGCUCUGCCAUGGCUGCCCAAGGUGGUGAUAUUUCCUCUCUGCCUGUUGGGUGUGGGGCAGUGCCACCCUGUCCCAUCCCACCUCAUCAGCACAGAAUGAAGCUGGUCCUAUACUCAUCACCUGUGCACAUGAGGAAACUGAGGCCCCAAGAGGGGAGCCCAAGGUCAUAUUACUGGGGACCUGUGGGCUGGCGUCUGAGCCCAGCACUGUGGCUUCAAGCCCACAUCUGCCCUAGGAGGGCCCAGGAGGCCCUGUGAUGUCAAUACCCUGUGAUGUCAUUCCCGUGCUGUCACCACAUGAUGUCAUCCCCUGUGGUAUCACCUCUGUGAUGUCAAUACCUCUUUUAAUGUCAUCCCCAUGGUGUCAUUCCCCCCAUGAUGUCAGUCCCCCAUGAUGUCAGUUUCCCACGAUGUCAUCCCCUGUAAUGUCAUCCCCCGUGAUGUCAUUCCCCCAUGAUGUCAGUGUGAUGUCAUCUCUGUGAUGUCAUUCCGUGAUGUCACCCCCCAUGAUGCCAUUCCCCUGCAAUGUCAUGCCCCUGUGAUGUCAUCCCCCCGUGUGAUGCCAGUCUCCCAUGAUGUCCCCCCUGUGAUGUCAUUCAUGUGACAUCAUCCUGUGAUGUCUCCCCCAUGAUGUCAUUCCCCAUGUGAUGUCAAUUUCCCACGAUGUCACCCCUCUGACAUCAUCCUCUGUGAUGUCUCGCCCAUGAUGUCAUCCCCCAUGGCGUCAUUGUUCGUCGUGGGGGUUUGUGGGAUCCCCUCCUCUCCCCUCCCUUGGGGUCUUCCUGGCUGGUGGGGAGAGGUGGCCUGGCCUGGGUGCCGCAGCAGCUGCUCUGGAAGGUGCCCGGGCUCUUGGGGGCCUUGGCCCACGCCAUCCCCUGGACUGUGCGGCGCCCUCCAGGGCCCAGCUUCUGUUGGGUGUUGGGCACAAGUCAGAAUCAAGUGCAUCUGGCCAGAUGCUGCCAGGGCCAAGGAUGCAGCUGCCUGUGGCCUGGCCUUGGUGUAGAGCCAGAGUCUUGCGCAGGGGCUGAGGGGACCCAGAUGGUGGGGAGGCUCCGGAGCAUGUGACCGGGGACCGUCCUGCUGUGGACAGACCUCCUGGGCUGAGUGUUGGUCGGGCCCGGGCCAUGCACCUAGAGGAUGUCUCUUGACCAGUGGGGAGGGUCUGGGGGUGAGUGUGGCUGUGUCCCUUGGCUACUGGGCCAGUGUGGUCCAGGGCACUCUAGGGACUCCCUGUGUUCUGACUUGAAUGGAGCUAUUGGGGCUGAAGGGGCAGUGGCCCUGUGUCUCCUCAGAGCUUGCAGGUCCUCUUGGAGGCCCAGAGAGAGCCAGAGGAGGGCAGGGUCACUGCUGCCUCCUCAUGGUAUGGAAUUGACUGAGCCCAUGCUGGGAUCUGGAGGCCCCAAAGGAAUGAGGCCUGUGGCCAGGGGCCGGCCCAGGAGCUGGGGUGGCUUUUGGGGGAGAGGCCCGCAGUGCUGGGAGGUAAGUGGUGAUGUGCUUGGCAGCCUCAGUGCUCCCUUAGGAGGGUCUAGGACCCCACCUCGAAUCUUCCUGGGCUAUGCAGAGCCAGGAAGAGAGGCCAGGUGGCCUUGGUGGGUGGGAUUAGAUGCUCCAGCCCUGCCUGGAACUCCCUUGGGGGUCGGGCCACAGCCAAGAAGAGUGCUGUCUUGCCUGUGCUAAGGCCACUGUACAUGCAGAGCUGGACCCAGAACCUCGUCCAAGGCCCCCGGCAGUCUCACCAGGAGGUGUUUAGAGCUGGCCACGUGGAGUGGCAUACCUCCGGGGGGCGGGGGGGCUGUGAGAGGACAGUGGUGUGGGCCCUUGGUCUGUGCCUCCCACGGGACAGCUGCUUCAAUAGCAUCUGUGCCCCCUCCUGCCCGUAGUCCACCCACCACUGACCCCUGGACUUGGCUGGCGGAUUUUCACACCUUCUUCUGGGGGCAGGUCUCAGCUUGUCCCCAACCCAGUCAGAGCCAGUCUCACUCCCUGCCUCAGGCAACUGUGUAUGUUUUAAUUUUUAUUUAUUUAUGUACUCAUGAGAUAGAGUCUCACUCUGUCUCCCAGGCUGGAGUGCAGUGGCACCAUUUCGGCUCACUGCAACCUCCACCUCCCGGGUUCAAGCCAUUCUCCUGCCUCAGCCUCCUGAGAAGCUGAGAUUACAGGCGCUCGCCACCAUGCAUGGCUAAUUUUUGUAUUUUUAGUAGAGAUGGGGUUUCACCAUGUUGGCCAGGCUGGUCUUGAACUCCUAACCUCAGGUGACCUGCCUGCCUCGGCCUUCCAAAGUGCUGGGAUUACAGGCAUGAGCCACCGCCUGUAAUUUUAAUUUUUAACCAAACUGAGAAUUUGAGGAUUGAAUGCAUGUAACGGGUGGUGUUCAUGUGGAUGUGGAUUCCAUGAAAGAGGGCUUUGUCCUCACUGUCGGUUCUCCACACGUAGGUCCUUUGACUCAGCAGACCUUAGGCCUAGUCUGACAGCUCCUUAGCUUGGGGUGCACAGGCAGCUGAAGCAGUAGGAUGGCAGCUCAGACUUCCCAGGGCCCCACGUGUGCAGGGCUGGCCUCCCAGCACCACCAGGCAGGGCCGGCCUCCGAGCACCACCAGGCAGGGCCCUGUGAGUGUCCCCUCCCUGACACACACCUUGUAGAGAGGCUGGGCCUGGGCAGGCCGCUCUGCUGCACCACAUCCCAUUCUCAAGAGGGUCCCAGGUCCCAAAGGAAGCCUGUAGCCCAGUGGCUUUCUGGAGGUUUGCAUGGCUGGCAAGCCUGGGCCGGCUGCUGGAGAGGCAUCAGGACAGGAGCAACUCUGCUGACUGCUCCCCUCAGCGAGCUCUAAGAGUCUUUGGGUGGGAGGCACAUCACAUCCCUGUCACUCCUGGCUGGCCCUGGAAUGCCUCAGCCCACACACCCCACUCCAGCCAGGGCUGUGGGAACUGUGUCUGCUCAGGUACAAAAGGCUUUGUUUGUUCUUGGACCUCUUGGUUCUGGUCUGGGCUUCCCGCCUCCCAUGCUGUGAGCCCCCAUGGGCUGGGACCGCAGCUUGCCAUGUGUCUCUCAGUGGCACCAAGUGGACGCUCGAGGCUUAUGUUGAGGGAGUGAGAGCCAGGAUGGGCCACUGGGCGUGCUGGGAGCCCACACAGGCAGGGAGCCCAGCGGGAGGUGCCCUGCUCCUGCCAGCCCCGGUUACCCCAGCAGGCUCGGCACCCACUCAGAGCCCCCACUUCCGCUCCCCAGGCACUCCCCGUGUGCCUACCUGCCCUUGUCCUGGGCCAGCUUGGCUCCUGCCUCCCAGCUCUGAGGAGGCCUCUGCAGGUAGCCGACCUCCCUGGACGAGGGGGCAGCUGCCUCCUCUCACCUGGGCUCACCCUGAGCCAAGUCCUCUCAACCCAGGAUAAAUGGCCUUUCUGAAGGCCCAGAGAGCAUGCCUGCCCCAGUGUAGGAGCUGCAUCCGCUCCCCACCUGACAGUGAUGGCCAAGAGCCCAGUGUUCCUGGAGGGCUCCCAAACUCUGGACCUGUAGGGGGGUCAGGGCAGUCGCUGGUCCCUAAGAGAAAAGCCUGACCCUCGGCCCCAGGUGGCUGAACCCGUCACUGCCAGGGCGAGCUGUCACCUCUGUGAGCUGAUGAGGCCUUGCUUUUAGGACCUCUAAUCUCUGCAAGAACCCAAGCUGGCUCUGCCUGUUUCUCCUGAGCAGCUCGCAGUAUUCACCACACUCCAGCACGACUCGGGACAGGCACGUGCGCCCCUCUGCACCAGCUGGAGUCCCUCAGGACACCUGGCUGGAGCUGACGGGCAUGGGCGGGUGUGUGCGAGCAUGAGCCCGCAGGUCUGUGAGCUUCGUCUCCCUUUCCUUCUUCACAGUGUACUAAUGGUCACUUGAUGUGCGCUGGCUGUUUUAUCCACCUACUAGCAGAUGCCCGGCUGAAGGAGGAGCAGGCCACGUGCCCCAAUUGUCGUUGUGAGAUCAGUAAGAGCCUCUGCUGCCGGAACCUGGCCGUGGAGAAAGCCGUGAGCGAGCUGCCUUCAGAGUGUGGCUUCUGCCUGCGCCAGUUUCCCCGCUCCCUCCUGGAGAGGCACCAGAAAGAGGAAUGCCAGGACAGGGUAACCCAGUGCAAGUACAAACGCAUCGGCUGCCCAUGGCACGGCCCCUUCCAUGAGCUGACGGUGCACGAGGCUGCGUGCGCCCACCCGACCAAGACAGGCAGUGAGCUGAUGGAGAUCCUGGAUGGGAUGGACCAGAGCCACCGCAAGGAGAUGCAGCUGUACAACAGCAUCUUCAGCCUGCUCAGCUUUGAGAAGAUUGGCUACACAGGUGAGGCGCCCCGCCGCCUGCUGCAUGCCACACAGGUGUGGGUUGGGGGGCUGGCAGCCAGGAGUCUGGGGGCAGCAGGCUCUGGGCACUGGGCACUGACGGCGCCGGACAGCCGGGCUCUGGACAAGCUCCCGGUGGACAGGUGGACACCUCGGUCGAGAAGACAGGCCGGAGACUGAGUGGAAGGAGGGGCCGAGGCAGACCCCAGGUGCACACCUGUGUGGCUCUCACAGCAGCCCCGCCCACCUGUCCUCCCCACCCUGGCUUCACCACCCCCGCAAGGUGGCAUCUCACUGUGGGGCUCCAGAGCCUCAAGACAGUCAGGGUCUAACCAGAAAGUGGGCAGGUCUCAGGGGGCCUGGGAGCUAGGGGCCUGCCCCUCGGACCCUGGGGCAAGAAGAGCACCCUGCCGAGUGAGGUCCUACCUGCAGGCAGUCACUGCCCCGGCCAUGGGCCUCUCAAGGCUGGCACGAAGCCAUUCAGGGAGAGGGCUCCAGAACAAGCUGAGGGUGCCCGACUCAAACUGUAGAACCGGGAGUGGACACCCACAGACGCCCAGGCUGGAUGCGUGCGCAGGCACACUGGAUCUCGUGGCUCUCUGGGCCGCUGCCACCGCCUUUGAACGUGUCGGGGAGCAGGAGCCAGGCCAGAGCCUGGCCCAGAGGACAGCGAGAAGCACCUGUUGAUGCUGGGGCCACUGGAGGAAGCUCCAUCCCUCUACUCUCAGCCCACACCAGGCGGCCAGCUCAGAGCACCAGGCGUGGCGCAAGCAGGGUGGUCGUGGGCAGCCAGUCCCGCCCUGCUGCCUGGACUGUGCCCAGCGGGAUGUGGGCCCGAGCAGGCCAGAGAGGCCGAGGGCCUGGGGUCUCUGCGGCAGCCACAGCCCGUGGUGAGUAGCAGCCUUAGCUGUCCUGGAGAUACCGGGGCCUCGUGGAGUCUAGGCAGGCUGGGGCACUGUGGCUGCGGCCGUGGCCAGGUGAGAAGCCCCAUUCGCGCAGGAAAGACUGGCCACCUGGGAACCCACGCCUCCACGGAGGGACUUGCCGGCCACAGGCUGUGGGCUACCCAAGAGGACUGUGCAGGCAGGGCUGCCUGCUGAUUGGCAGCUCCGGAUCAGGCCCGGUGCCUGCAGACCUGGUGCUCCCCUCGGGCAGGGCUGGGUGCCGCAGCCGCCUGCUGGCUUUUCUGGCAGCUCCUCUGUAUCAGAACCAAUAAAGUGCACUUGUUCUCGGAACCGCA